GAGUGGCGAACUGGUGAGUAACACGUGGGAAACCUGCCCAGAAGCGGGGGAUAACACCUGGAAACAGAUGCUAAUACCGCAUAACAACUUGGACCGCAUGGUCCGAGCUUGAAAGAUGGCUUCGGCUAUCACUUUUGGAUGGUCCCGCGGCGUAUUAGCUAGAUGGUGGGGUAAUGGCUCACCAUGGCAAUGAUACGUAGCCGACCUGAGAGGGUAAUCGGCCACAUUGGGACUGAGACACGGCCCAAACUCCUACGGGAGGCAGCAGUAGGGAAUCUUCCACAAUGGACGAAAGUCUGAUGGAGCAACGCCGCGUGAGUGAAGAAGGGUUUCGGCUCGUAAAACUCUGUUGUUAAAGAAGAACAUAUCUGAGAGUAACUGUUCAGGUAUUGACGGUAUUUAACCAGAAAGCCACGGCUAACUACGUGCCAGCAGCCGCGGUAAUACGUAGGUGGCAAGCGUUGUCCGGAUUUAUUGGGCGUAAAGCGAGCGCAGGCGGUUUUUUAAGUCUGAUGUGAAAGCCUUCGGCUCAACCGAAGAAGUGCAUCGGAAACUGGGAAACUUGAGUGCAGAAGAGGACAGUGGAACUCCAUGUGUAGCGGUGAAAUGCGUAGAUAUAUGGAAGAACACCAGUGGCGAAGGCGGCUGUCUGGUCUGUAACUGACGCUGAGGCUCGAAAGUAUGGGUAGCAAACAGGAUUAGAUACCCUGGUAGUCCAUACCGUAAACGAUGAAUGCUAAGUGUUGGAGGGUUUCCGCCCUUCAGUGCUGCAGCUAACGCAUUAAGCAUUCCGCCUGGGGAGUACGGCCGCAAGGCUGAAACUCAAAGGAAUUGACGGGGGCCCGCACAAGCGGUGGAGCAUGUGGUUUAAUUCGAAGCUACGCGAAGAACCUUACCAGGUCUUGACAUACUAUGCAAAUCUAAGAGAUUAGACGUUCCCUUCGGGGACAUGGAUACAGGUGGUGCAUGGUUGUCGUCAGCUCGUGUCGUGAGAUGUUGGGUUAAGUCCCGCAACGAGCGCAACCCUUAUUAUCAGUUGCCAGCAUUAAGUUGGGCACUCUGGUGAGACUGCCGGUGACAAACCGGAGGAAGGUGGGGAUGACGUCAAAUCAUCAUGCCCCUUAUGACCUGGGCUACACACGUGCUACAAUGGAUGGUACAACGAGUUGCGAACUCGCGAGAGUAAGCUAAUCUCUUAAAGCCAUUCUCAGUUCGGAUUGUAGGCUGCAACUCGCCUACAUGAAGUCGGAAUCGCUAGUAAUCGCGGAUCAGCAUGCCGCGGUGAAUACGUUCCCGGGCCUUGUACACACCGCCCGUCACACCAUGAGAGUUUGUAACACCCAAAGUCGG
rnacentral:rRNA from 1 species